GAAAUGCGAUAAGUAGUGUGAAUUGCAGAAUUCAGUGAAUCAUCGAAUCUUUGAACGCACAUUUCGCCCUUUGGUAUUCCAAAGGGCAUGCCUGUUCGAGCGUCAUUUGUACCCUCAAGCUUUGCUUGGUGUUGGGCGUCUUGUCUCUAGCUUUGCUGGAGACUCGCCUUAAAGUAAUUGGCAGCCGGCCUACUGGUUUCGGAGCGCAGCACAAGUCGCACUCUCUAUCAGCAAAGGUCUAGCAUCCAUUAAGCCUUUUUUCAACUUUUGACCUCGGAUCAGGUAGGGAUACCCGCUGAACUUAAGC
rnacentral:misc_RNA from 1 species